UGUGAGCUCGAUGAGUAGGGCGGGACACGUGGUAUCCUGUCUGAAUAUGGGGGGACCAUCCUCCAAGGCUAAAUACUCCUGACUGACCGAUAGUGAACCAGUACCGUGAGGGAAAGGCGAAAAGAACCCCGGCGAGGGGAGUGAAAAAGAACCUGAAACCGUGUACGUACAAGCAGUGGGAGCCCCACCACUAAGCCAGUGGUGAACUCCACAUACGCAUCCUUUGCUGAGGAUACGGUUAACGGAGCGAAAGCGACGUUCAACCUCAAAAGAAGCAGAGGGGGCUUAGUGGUGGGGUGACUGCGUACCUUUUGUAUAAUGGGUCAGCGACUUAUAUUCUGUAGCAAGGUUAACCGCAUAGGGGAGCCGGAGGGAAACCGAGUCUUAACCGGGCGUUAAGUUGCAGGGUAUAGACCCGAAACCCGGUGAUCUAGCCAUGGGCAGGUUGAAGGUUGGGUAACACUAACUGGAGGACCGAACCGACUAAUGUUGAAAAAUUAGCGGAUGACCUGUGGCUGGGGGUGAAAGGCCAAUCAAACCGGGAGAUAGCUGGUUCUCCCCGAAAGCUAUUUAGGUAGCGCCUCGUGAAUUCAUCUCCGGGGGUAGAGCACUGUUUCGGCCAGGGGGCCAUCCCGGCUUACCAACCCGAUGCAAACUGCGAAUACCGGAGAAUGUUAUCACGGGAGACACACGGCGGGUGCUAACGUCCGUCGUGAAGAGGGAAACAACCCAGACCGCCAGCUAAGGUCCCAAAGUCAUGGUUAAGUGGGAAACGAUGUGGGAAGGCCCAGACAGCCAGGAUGUUGGCUUAGAAGCAGCCAUCAUUUAAAGAAAGCGUAAUAGCUCACUGGUCGAGUCGGCCUGCGCGGAAGAUGUAACGGGGCUAAACCAU
rnacentral:rRNA from 1 species